rnacentral:rRNA from 1 species
UACGUAGGGUGCAAGCGUUGUCCGGAAUUAUUGGGCGUAAAGAGCUCGUAGGCGGCCGGUUGCGUCUGCUGUGAAAUCCCGGGGCUUAACCCCGGGCGUGCAGUGGAUACGGGCUGGCUGGAGGCAGGCAGGGGAGAAUGGAAUUCCCGGUGUAGCGGCGAAAUGCGCAGAUAUCGGGAGGAACACCGGUGGCGAAGGCGGUUCUCUGGGCCUGUGCUGACGCUGAGGAGCGAAAGCGUGGGGAGCGAACAGG